UCUGCUCCAUAAAACCUCCGUUACUGAAGGAGAGAGCCUCGGACGACACACCUGACCUCACGUCACUGUGAAACAGGGUGAAGGAAGACAAGACGGACUAAACCUCAACACGCUUCAAAGACACAGACUUCCCUAGCUCCACCCUCCAGCUGACACCAUGGAGAUCGCAGAAGAACUCAUACCGACGAUCUACUCCUACAUGGACCAACAAAUAGAGUGUGCACAGAGACUGGAGGAGCUGGCC